rnacentral:rRNA from 1 species
GACGAACGCUGGCGGCGUGCUUAACACAUGCAAGUCGAACGGAAAGGCCCUGCUCUUGUGGGGUGCUCGAGUGGCGAACGGGUGAGUAACACGUGAGUAACCUGCCCUUGACUUUGGGAUAACUUCAGGAAACUGGGGCUAAUACCGGAUAGGAGCUUCUGCUGCACGGUGGGGGUUGGAAAGUUUCGGCGGUUGGGGAUGGACUCGCGGCUUAUCAGCUGGUUGGUGGGGUAGUGGCUUACGAAGGCUUUGACGGGUAGCCGGCCUGAGAGGGUGGCCGGCCACAUUGGGACUGCGAGACGGCGCAGACGCCUACGGGAGGCAGCGGUGGGGAAUAUUGCAGAAUGGGGGGAAGCCUGAUGCGGCAGCGCCGGGUGCGGGAUGACGGCCUUCGGGUUGAAAACCGCUUUCGCCUGUGACGAAGCGUGAGUGACGGUAAUGGGUAAAGAAGCACCGGCUAACUACGUG